rnacentral:tRNA from 1 species
GUUAAGAUGGUCGAGUGUUGAGGUGUUAGGCUGUAGUCCUUUUUACAGAGGUUUGAUUCCUCUUCUUAUCA